AGCUAUCGGGGUGCAGAUGUCCUUGGAUUUGCUGGAGAAGAGGUUCUGGGCCAUCGCCAAGCAGCCCAGCGACACAGACUGUUCAAACAUCGAAGGCGUGUGUCCGCUCAGCUGUGAGAGCGCUG